GCUCCUUCCCGUCGAAUUGGAUUCCGGGAUGGCGUCCGCUGUCCCGUGUUGGGGAGACUCCGGUCUUCGCUCAGGCUUUCGGCGGCUCUUUGAGGUCGUCUAUUUCGAUUCCCUUUGAUCCUUGUCUCCUCGUCCUUGUUGGGUUGUGUGUCUCGAUUUGGAGGAAGGGGAUGCGAGAGGCCGCGAGGAGAAACUGGAAGCGGGGGAUUCGCAACGAAAGAGAAAACUUGAAGGAGCUGAAGCUACAGAUUACCUCCUGCUGCUGUUGCUAGUGUUCCAUUCAGUACCAGAAUCCGAGGUUCGUCAAGUCCUGCCGCCGCUGUCCUCUUGCAGAUUGAUAGAACAUGGACGGCACAGCUUAGCCAUCUCUUGACUCGGAUCGCCCCUUCGGAGCUCUCCACAGCUCAAGGCAUUGGUACUCCUGGUGAAGGAUCCUGAGAUCUCCCUGAUGAGAACCUCAACCUGCUCGUGCCGACCACCAACUUCCGAACCUGGCAAGAUGGCUUUCAGCUGCGACGCCAGUUCGUGCAUGACUCUUCCGUUCAUGUCCCGGAAACCCAUCCAUAGACGAGAAAGCCUCAGUUGACUCCUCUCAUAGAUUCUAACAUGGGGGGUAUCAAUCAAUGUAGGACACGAGGUGAUGGAAUCAAAGGGCGCCAAAGUUUCGUCAGCCACUGUGACAACACAACAGCACUGGCGCCUGGUUGAAGAUGGAUAACAUGGAAGCUGAACCGAGAGUUCACGUGGCGAACUGUUCUUUAGUGUCAGUCGAGCUUAAUAAGCAGCAACUCCGAGUGAUGUUUGAAUUGCUUGUGAAGCAUAACUCGAUGGAAAAGUAGAAUUGUAAUUCAUUACAAACGAAGCCAUAAGGGUAGCUAUAAAGAAUGCGUAUCCUUUCUACA